AAACACAUUCAAUGCAUAUUUUUUUAAUCUGGUAUAUUCACUGAAGUUCCCUUUGGCUCAACUCAUCAAAAGCCAAAGGGCUGUUUAAUUAUUGUGUCAGACGCGAAUUGAGGUUACUGUUGCAAUGUAUUUUAAAAAACACAAACAGUUAAAAACUUGACAUUAUACUAGAUUUCUUUUGACCAGAAGCUGGCCACUUGGAGUGCCUCUGGUGUCGCUGUGAGAAGGUCCUCCAUUGUGCAUGUAACAGGGCUCAGGCUGCAUUGUAGUAAGUGAUUUGUGGUUUGCUCUUCUCCACACCCGCAUGUCGUGGACUCCACUUUGUAGCCCUAUUUCUUAAGGUUGGCUCUGCAUCUCGUGGUCCCAGAGUGCAGUCUGUUCCAAGUCGCUUUCCAAGUCGCCCAGUCUUCAGUGUGUCCAGGAGAGAGUCUCUCAUCCGGUAUCAGCCACUGAUUGAGGUGUUGGGUUUUAGCCUGCCACUUUUGGACUCUUGCUUGCUGAGGUGUUCCUGCGAGUAUCUCUUAGGAAACUGUUUCUUGAUUUAAGUCAUUGGUGUGCUGGCUGAUAUCCAAACAGAGGAUGGGCUGGCAAUGUCAAUGCCUUGGUACUUUCAUUACUGGCUGCUAUAUCCCAACGGAUGUUAGGUGGUGCAAUACCGCCUAAACAGUAUAAUUUCUCCAGCUGUGUACGUGUAGACAUCCUAUGAUAAUGUGGCAUACCUUAAUAAGAGCCACAUCCACAAUUUUAACAUGGUGAGAUCUAUUUGACACUGGGCAUACGCAUUCAGCAGCAGAGCAGCAAAGCGCAAGGACAGAUGUGUUCACUGUGUCUGAUUGUCAUCCCCAGGUUGUGUCAGUCAGUUUUCAUAUGACAUUAUUUCUAGCACCCGCUUUUUGCUUGAUAGUCAAGCAAUGCUACUUGUAAGUCAGAGUAUUUAUAAAUAACUAAAUGAAAUAACCUAAGCAUUGGCAAACUACUUCUCUCAAUGGCCCCUUCUACACUGCCCUAUAAUUCAGAUGAUCAAAGCAGAUAAUCUACAUAAUCUGAACUGGAUUAUAUGAGUCUACACUGCCAUAUAAUGCACUUCAAAGCAGAUAAUCUGGAUUUUCUAUGGUAGUGUAAAAAAGGCCAAUGAUAUCUGACCCUGGCUCUGCUGCUGGCGAUUGUGAUGCAACAGUGAUGCUGCUCCUUCUAUGACGCCUUCGUGGUUCCCGUGGAGAUGAGUCAAGCCAAGGAGAGAGAGGCAGGCAGAGGAGUCCCAUGGAAACAGCUAAGUCCCUCUGAUGGAGGGAAAGACUGAAUUAACAAAAUGGGGAGUAAGAAAUGAUAGAUAUAUGCUCUGUAAAAACAUGUUAUAACAAAUUGUUUAUUUUCCUGCUAAGGUGUCAAAACAUCACCUUUCCAGGUAAGCUUGCUGUAUUUCUCAUUCAUUUAUCUCUUAUCAGGGAAACUGAGACAACAGAAUAGUCCUCCUACUCACAGCAGUCAAAUAAUUAUAUAAAUAGCAUAUGGGAUAAAAGAAAAAUGCAAAAAAGAGAGAGAUUAUGGUAAGGCUGACAGUUGAGAUGAGUUCUAGCACAAAGUUGCACAGUUUGAAAUUUACUGGAAGAUGGAAAUCCAGAAGAUGAGGUGGGUAUGUCAGUAUUUCCAGUUGCCAACAUCUUUUCUUAAAUUUGCUUUUUUUAGCUGAAAACAUAUAAGAUUUCAGAUUUCUCAAAAGUUUCAGGAAACUGCAAAUAUGAAAAAAAAAUCUGAUGUAAGGUAAAGAGUAAGGUUGGCUUUGGGAAAGUAAAGUACCCCUCCAGUGAUCUUUGCCAACAUGUCGGUAGGUUUCUAUGGGGUAUGUUUUUAAAUGGAUGUUUAAAAUUUUAUUAACUAACUGUACUUCUGACACAAAAAAUAAUAAGAGAGACUGAGAUAGAUAGAUAGAUAGAUAGAUAGAUAGAUAGAUAGAUAGAUAGAUAGAUAGAUGAUAGAUAGAGAUAGAUGAUUGAUUGAUUGAUUUCAGGCUGCUGACAAUCUUCAAAAAGCAGAAAAUAUGUGACAAAAAUCUGAUAUAAGACUUGUUUCAGAAAAAAUAAAAACCUCUCCAGCAGACUUCACCAAUAUAUUGGAGAACACAUAGUGAAACCUCUCCAGUGAAUGUCACCAACAUGUUUGGAAAUUUCUGUGGGGUAAGUUUCUAAAUGGGAAGAAUUCCUGUCCUGGAAAAUAUUCAUGCUGGUUAAAGAUUAUUUCUUCACUUUAUUCUCAUAUAUAGCAUCUUUGUGGACUGAAAGGGAAAAUUUCCACAGUUUAAAAUAAUUGUACAUAAAUCCAUUUGGUAGGGAGAAUAUAUAAACAUGCAUAUUCUGAAAGAUGGUGGAACAAAUCAACCAAGCAUUUCAGUAUUUCAUGGUGACCAGUCUUUGCCUGACUUUCUCACUAGUGCAUUUCUACAUUUUGAAGGAGAUUGGAAGAAAGGAAUCAAUCCAAGAGAUGAAGUAAGCCCUUUAUUAAUUCUAGUUGCUAAAGUCUGCUGCUUUGUUUCUUUAUCUUUGUUUCUUUAUCUUUAUAGUAAGUUCUAGUGCAAGAAGAUAAUAUGGAAUAGAGAAAUAACAAAUGGAACAGCCUGGAAUCAUGAUUUUGGAUGGCGUGAUUUUAUUAAUGGUUUUUGAUAUUGAUAUGUGUUAAUUUUUUGGUUUUAAAACAUUUGCUUAUUUUACUGUAUGUUGAUGACAUUGACUUACUAUCUGGAAGGCCAUUCUGAGUACCCCUUUGGGGUGAAUAGAGUGGGAUAUAAAUGAAGUAAAUAAAUAAAAUGAAUAAUAAAUUUCUCCAUACAGAAUAGAAACAAACUGGUGUGAGAAAGAGACCUGGAGACAUACUGAAGCUAUAAACGGACCUCUUCUUCAGGAAUUGACCAGAAAAUGUAAAGGUCAGAUUCUUGUUAAAAUUUAACAUUUCUAAAAUCCAUUAUUUAUUGGAAACAAAACAGAUAAUUGAUUAUUGUUCCUUUCUUGCCAGAUGAAAUUUUCAAGCCAAGACUUAGAAGUAUGUAUGACGUUUAACAAUUCUUUGCUUAUAUAUGGAUUUAUUUCCAGGCUGGAAAGAGAUUUUAAAAAAUAAAGUUCUUUCAUUAGUGAGUGGCAAAAAGAAAGUUUAGACAUUAUGGAUUUUAACAUGAUUUUAAAACAACACCAUUUUCUUUAAAAACCCUCGUGAUUUAGGGGAUGAUAGUUCUGAAAUUAAUCCAAAAGAGAGAAAUGGGACAAAUGUCACAGGCAAAUAUGAUAAACAUGAAGGUAGGUCCUCAGUGGUAUCCUUUACUGCAAUUGAAGAAAAAAUUGCAAUUGAAAUAAAAAUGUGUACAAACAAAAGAUAUGGUCAAGAUGGCAAUUCAGAGGUAAGAAACAACCUUUAGUUUUUAACAGAUUUGUGUCCAGAAGAAAGGAAUCCAGCAGAUAAGGUAUGAAUGUCAAGAUUUUAGGCUACCAAAGUCUAUCCUAACUUUGUCUAGAUUUUUGUCCCGGAAAAGUAUGAGAUUCCAUGGUUUUGACCAUGAUGAAGCAUGAAGCAAACCAUGAUCAAACAUGCAACAAAAGAACAACUUCAGGAAGAUAAGAAUCUUUCCAGUGACCUUACAAACUUGUUGGUAAGUCUUUACGAGGUAUGUUUCUUAGAGAGAGAAAUGCACAUCUUGGUAAAUGCUUUCCUUUAGUCCAUUGAACAGUAUUUUGGAUAUUCGGUUGCCCAAGUCUUUUCCUAACUUUGUCUAGAUAUUUCACUGGGAAAAUAUGAGAUUUCAGGCAUCUGACAACCUUCAAGAAACAGCGAACAUGUAACACAAAUCUAAGGGAAAGAACAAGACUUGCUUCAGAAAGGUAUUAAUCUCCUUCGGGGAAUUUAACAAACAUAUUGGAAAGUCUCCAUGAGGUAAGUUUCUCAAUUGAAAGAAUUCACACCCAAGAAAAUACUCAAGUGGCUAAAGAUUUAUUUUACCACUUUGUACUUGGAUAUAACCUCUUUGUAGACAUGAAAGUGAGCUUUCCUAUUUUGAAAGAACUGCAAAUCAAUCCUGUUGUGUCUAAUAAAAGCAUCUGGAAAAAAGAUGAAAUAUUGCCAAAAUUUACAGUGACUAAAGUCUCUGCCUUACAUUCCUCAGCUUUCUAUGGAGAAAGGAAUCAAAGAACUUAGGUAAGAAUUCCAUUAUCCCCAAUACCUAAAGGUUGCCAUUUAUUUUAUUGUCUGGCUCCCUCCUUAAUAUUUUAUUCAUCUUUGAUUGUGGUGGUUAAAAUGAUUUCUCCAUCCAGAGUGCAAACAAACUGGGAAAAGGAGGAAGACGUUGAGAGAGUAGAUGUGGAGGUAUACUUUGGGAGUUGGCUGGACAAGGUUGUAUUCUAUACAGACAUUUUUAGCAUACAAGCAAUAAUUCAUUUACUGAAAAGAAAAAAAAUGGCAAUUGUUCCUAUUUUUCUAGAAAGCUUCAGAAGCAACUAUGUUGUUUAACAUUUGUUUGCUAUGUUACUGACUUCCUUCCAGGUUUGCAAGAGAUUUUAGAAAUUCUUAAAUGUUAUUUUAGUUACCAAAUUAAUUCAAGAAGAGAGAAGUGUGACAAUGUCACAGACAGACAUCACCAAUGUGAUGGUAAGUUCUGAAAUGGUAUCCUUUACUGUAGGGAACGAUCCGUGGUAUUUUUCCUUGCUGGCUCUCUGGACGGGUGAGUGUGACAGUUCCUUGAUGCUUUGGUGACUUUUGUUUUGCAGUUUUGGAAGGGAUUGUCCAAUACAAAAAGCUCUGUAGAUCAUUCAUUAUUGUAAGAUAGGUAACAAAGAUCAUAACAUUGAUAGUUUGGCAAGAUCAAAAAAGCAAGGCGUAACACAAACUCCAGUGAGGUGAGAAACAUUCCUCUUAUAAAUGCUGUUUUUUCAAACAUAUUUGUGUUGAUUGCCAAAGACCAACAAUUUUAUCACCUUUUCUCCAUCCUUCUUUUGGUCUAGCAGGGGAUAUGGACUUAUACUUUAAGUGUCUUUAUUCUGUCCAUUUAGAUAUUGAUUAAUUUAUUUUCCAUUGAGCGGGCUGAAAAGGAAUGUUGAAAAUGAAAAAAACUGUGUGUGAACUUCACUUUAGGAACUGUCCAGAAUAUCUUCAAAAAUCUUAUAUGCUGACAGGGAAACACAAUGGGAUCAGAUGAUUGGUAAGAAAGCAAUACCUCUUGUGAGUCAGACUGUUGGUAUCCUUUACUGGCUUCCUUGGUAGUUUUUUUUCCUUGCUGUUUCCUUUGAUGGUUUGACAAUGAAUUCAUAUUUAGUUAUUUCUUUGCAGAUACCAAACUGCUGGCAUCAUUUACUGGAGAGAAAGGUUCUUAAUAGAUUUUUCCUUGCUGGCUCACUAAAAAUGUCAUGAUGAUGUUUUGACAACGUGUUGUAGAAGGCGUUCAUGGCCAGAAUUACUGGGUUGCUGUGAGUUUUCCAGGCCAGGAAGCAUCAGGAGACUAUGCUCUGGAAUAUGGCCAUACAGCCCGGAAAACUCAUGCAACCCAGUUUGACAAUUAUUUCAUAUUUAGUUACUUCUUUGCAGAUUUGGAAGGGAUUGCCCAAUGCAAAAGGAUCCUCAUUUGACCCAUUAUUUGAAGAUAGGUAACAAAAAGAAUUGCACUAAUACUUUGCCAUGAAAGCAGGGCACAUAACAAAAAUAUUAGUCAGGUAAGAAGUGAUGCUGUUUGUAUCAUUCCUUCUUCAAGGAGAACAAGGUGAAAAACAUGACCAAUUUGUGUUGAUUACCAAAGGCCAAUUAUUAUAUCAUUUUUCUGGAAGUCUUUUCAAAGGAAUGUUAUUGGGACAUUAAUUUAUUUUCUUUUAAGCAGAUUCAACGUGGUUUUUCAGAGUUGAAAGAGAGAUGUGUGACCUUUCCUUUUGGCAUCGCCUAGAAAAUCUUCAGAAUUCUAAUUUAUGGAUAGAGAAAGGCAGUCUCCAACUUAUAAAAAAAAAGUAUAAUUGGAAACAAGGAAACCUAGUAUGCAUCUAGAUGGAUGUGGAAAAUGACAUGAGCAUGGAAGAGCUGCAUUAAUAAGGAUUGUAUAUUUGCCAUUCAGGUGGCCAAUGUUUUCUCUUGUAGAGGAGAGCCACGGCGCUUGCAGGGUGGCCUUUGGACUACCGCACAACAACGGGGAGAGAGGGAUGGGGCGCUUGCGUAUGGCUCUUGCUCGUGGGAUGCCCAGGGCUAGUGGUGCUGAUCGCCGUUUUGGGGUCGGGAAGGAAUUUUCCUCCAGGGCAGAUUGGCCGGAGACCCUGGAGGUUUUUCGCCUUCCCCUGGGCAUUGAGCAGGAGUCACCGGCCAUGUCAAAUGGCACAUUCAAGUCAAUUAAAACAUCAUUUAAAAUAAAUGUAUGAAUUAAAACAAA